UUUUGCUGAAGCUAUUCUUUUUACCUUGACCUGCAUGGUUAGACAGUUGACUAUCAUUUUGAAUAAGUCGACUAAAUUUUCUUACCAUCAAGGUCAUCAAUUCUCUUUCGUCCAUGUCUGUUUCUGAGUUGUUCUUGCUUGUAGCUUUCAAAACAAUGGACUUCUUUUCUUCAAUCUCUUCUUCAUCCUUCAAUCUACCGAGUUCCAAUUCG
rnacentral:lncRNA from 1 species